rnacentral:rRNA from 1 species
UACGUAGGGUGCGAGCGUUGUCCGGAAUUAUUGGGCGUAAAGAGCUUGUAGGUGGUUUGUCGCGUCUGCUGUGAAAACUGGAGGCUCAACCUCCAGCCUGCAGUGGGUACGGGCAAACUAGAGUGCGGUAGGGGAGAUUGGAAUUCCUGGUGUAGCGGUGGAAUGCGCAGAUAUCAGGAGGAACACCGAUGGCGAAGGCAGAUCUCUGGGCCGUAACUGACGCUGAGGAGCGAAAGCAUGGGGAGCAAACAGG